AGGCGGCGCUUGGCAGAAACUUGAACAUUAGCUUUCCUGGGCGUCAUUUUGAGUUUGCCAGGCACGUGGAAAGAGCAGCAUUGAACUGCAGCGCCUAGCCGCAUCAAUCUCUGUGGAUGUCAUGGCACAACGCUUCCUCACUUUGGAGGCAGCAAUUGACCUUUUGUUCAGCCUUCCCGAUGACGAACGCGAAGGUGCGUCUGUAUGCCAAUUGCCGCCUCUUGAAGAUGGCAAUAUUACUGACGAGGAGCACGUGAACGAAAACGACUUUUCUGAAGUUGUUCCCGAUGAUGUUUGUGGGCACGUUGAAGUUAUGCAGUGCAGCGAUGAAGACGUUGAUUCGCCUUCUGCAUCUUCGAGCCCUGAGCCACGACGAAAGAAGCCAGCGGGGCGGCAAUUCACUGCUGGAAAAGGACGCAAGGCUUCAACGAAGGCUCGGAAAACAAAUACUCCAAAGCGCUCCCAUACACCAGUAUGGGGUGACCGUGCCAC